CUAGCAAGUCGACCAAAGGCGAAAGCAGUCAUCAAGGGCAUACCCGUUGAUCAAGAGCGAAAGUUAAGGGUUCGAAGACGAUCGAUAUCUGGUCGUUAAGAGCAGUGCUCCCGUCCCUUACAAAACGGGGUAAAGGCAUCUUGCUAGUCCAAGAGAGCAAUCCUCUUGGGCGACAUCAUCAAAUUGCGGGGACACCCUAAAGAUGACACUACCAACCACGCGCCGAAAGGCGGAAAAAAGCGGGGCGUUAAUACCUCUUUGAGCGGGGGAGUCGCUGUCGUGGGGCCGGGGUAAUGACCUUGGGUACGGUAAAAACGUGUCGUAUGAAGGUUAUCAGUGCUUAGGUGCUGGUUUCCUGAAAUGGGCAAUCCGCAGCCAAGUUCCAAACGCUUAAGGCGCAUCUCUUGAUGGAUCUAGGGAGUUGCGUUACCUUCCCAAAAGCACGUGGCUAUAAUGGCUGCCACGAACGCUAUGGUAAUGGAAGGUACUAAGCCUUAACGGGAAUGCUGUUCACAGACUAAAUGGUGGUGGGUAGUCGAGGGUAACCUCUUCUGCUUAAGAUAUAGUCGGGCCCCUGGUGAAAGCCAGGGGAUAAGAGGGCCGUCCCUCUACUGCAGAUACCGUCGUAGUCUUAACUAUAAAUGAUACAGACUAGGGAUAGGACACUGUCCAUCUCGACUCCUCCUGAAUCUUUGAGAAAUUACCAGUCUUUGGGUUCUGGGGGGAGUAUGGUCGCAAGGCUGAAACUUAAAGGAAUUGACGGAAAGGCACACAAAGAGUGGAACCUGCGGCUUAAUUUGACUCAACACGGGAAAACUCACCAGGUCCGGAUACACGCAUGAAAGUCAAGCUGAAAGACUUUACUCAAUGAUGUAAGUGGUGGUGCAUGGUCGUUCUUAGUUCGUGGAUUGAUUUGUCUGGUCUAUUCCGAUAACGAGCGAGACCCCAGCGUUCCUAGUAGGGCCAACAGCCCGACCAGCCGCAAGGCUGGUUAGCUGGCGGCUUAACAUAAGCUUCUUAGACGCAUCAGGGCCGAUAAGGUCCUUGAAAUGGGUUAAUAACAGGUCAGUCAUGCCCUUAGAUGUUCUGGGCCGCACGCGCGUUACAAUGGCAUGUAAAGCGAGUGCCGGUUAACAUGGCAUAUCCGGGGCCGAAAGGCUCUGGUAACCAUUAGUCCCUGCUUAGACUGGGACAGAUCAUUGCAAUUAUUGGUCUCAAACGAGGAAUUUUUAGUAAGCAUAGGUCAUUAACCUUUGCUGAAU
rnacentral:rRNA from 1 species